rnacentral:rRNA from 1 species
UGCAGAAUCCCGUGAACCAUCGAGUCUUUGAACGCAAGUUGCGCCCGAUGCCAUUAGGUUGAGGGCACGUCUGACUGGGUGUCACAUAUCGAAGCCUCCUACCAAUUUCCUUUUGACAGGUAUUGUGCAGGGUGGAUGUUGGCCUCCCGUGAGCUAUUUCGUCUCAUGGUUGGUUGAAAAUUGAGACCUUGGUAGGGUGUGCCAUGAUAAAUGGUGGUUGUGUGACCCACGAGACCAAUCGUGUGCCGCUCUAUUGAAUUUGGCCUCUUUUACCCAUAUGCGUUUCUAAACGCUCGUGAUGAGACCCCAGAUCAGGCGGGGCUACCCGCUGAAUUUAAGCAUAUCAAUAAGCGGAGGAAAAGAAACUAACAAGGAUUCCCUUAGUAACGGCGAGCGAACCGGGAUAAGCCCACCAUGAGAAUCGAUCGCCCUCGGCGUUCGA